UGGGGAAUUUUGGACAAUGGGGGAAACCCUGAUCCAGCCAUCCCGCGUGUGCGAUGAAGGCCUUCGGGUUGUAAAGCACUUUUGGCAGGAAAGAAACGUCAUGGGUUAAUACCCCGUGAAACUGACGGUACCUGCAGAAUAAGCACCGGCUAACUACGUGCCAGCAGCCGCGGUAAUACGUAGGGUGCAGGCGUUAAUCGGAAUUACUGGGCGUAAAGCGUGCGCAGGCGGUUCGGAAAGAAAGAUGUGAAAUCCCAGAGCUCAACUUUGGAACUGCAUUUUUAACUACCGGGCUAGAGUGUGUCAGAGGGAGGUGGAAUUCCGCGUGUAGCAGUGAAAUGCGUAGAUAUGCGGAGGAACACCGAUGGCGAAGGCAGCCUCCUGGGAUAACACUGACGCUCAUGCACGAAAGCGUGGGGAGCAAACAGG
rnacentral:rRNA from 1 species